CAACAUGUGUUGUAAAAGCCUUUUGCUCAUCUUGCGCAGAGUUUCGCAUCAACGAUGAUAAAUUUCUAAAAUAAUUUUAAGGUGCUAAAGUCUAUUUGUAGCGUCCCAGAGAUGACGUCUGUUGACAUUUGAACCUUAGAUUCCGAAACACUGGACCGGGGUCCUUAGCGGGUCCAAUGGCAGCUGGCCCAACCUGUCUACAUGAGCUUUAUAGAGUUGGCGAAGGCAUUAAGCCCUGUCUCUCCAGGUGUCCUGUAAAGUACUGUUCUGCAGUAUUGGCGGACACUUUGAUAUGUGUUCUUUGGUCCAUGUACAACUUCUGUGAGAGUUUCAUUUACACUGCUGACGGUAAUUUGUUUCCAGUGAGGGUUUACCUCAUUCAAGGCUGCUCUUUGUAACCAUUUUUGUUAAUAGUUUCAGGGGUGUGGUCAUACCCUUCCCGUGUGCGCAACCUGGCAGCAGCUCCUCACCUGCGCCUCAUUGAGGAUAAUUAUGUCAUGUAUUUAAGCCUUGUGUGUCAUGUCUUGGGUUGCCAGUUUGUUGUGUGAGUUUAGCAUGAGUUUACAAGCUUCUUGUGAGUAAUUGCCUCAUUACCGCGUCCCAGUCUUGGUUUUCCCUUGUAGUUAUCUAACCUCGUUUUGAUGUUUUUGGACCUUGCCUUCUGCCACGUGUUUUUCUGCUUCUGCCUUUACGGACAGCUUACCUGGAAAACAAGCUUCCUCUGUACAAUAUUAAAUUCCUCAUAUCUGUGAAAAGUGUCUUAUCUUGGACAAUAAGGGCCUGUUGUCCUGCGCUUAAUUUACUGAUGCGUGAUGGGGACUGAAGUCAACACACGAAUUUGUGAUCUUCUGAGCUACUAUCAAAAGCCCAACAGAGUUUCAGGACAAGACAGAAAAUAACAGCCCCACCCCGCCGAGGAGGCCAGCAGUGGAAACUGGAAGCGAAACAACGCCGAAACUCCUGAUGCACACACUUAUCCAAACACUUAUAAACUUUCACAGAAAAUACCUCCCUCCAACAACAACAACAACAAAAAUAGAACAAGAAAAAAAGACAUUUUCAAAAGUUCUGACUCCAAACCAACCACUCACACAGAGGAGCCCCAACAA